rnacentral:rRNA from 1 species
GAUGAACGCUGGCGGCGUGCCUAAUACAUGCAAGUCGAGCGAACAGACGAGGAGCUUGCUCCGCUGACGUUAGCGGCGGAGGGGAGAGUAACACGUGGAUAACCUACCUAUAAGACUGGGAUAACUACGGGAAACCGGAGCUAAUACGGGAUAAUAUAUUGAACCGCAAGGUUCAAUAGUGAAAUACGGUUUUGCUGUCACUUAUAGCUGGAUCCGCGCCGCAUUAGCUAGUUGGUAAGGUGACGGCUUACCAAGGCUACGAUGCGUAUCCGACCUGAGAGGGUGAUCGCCCACACGGGAACUGAGACACGGUCCAGACUCCUGCGGUAGGCAGCAGUAGAGAAUCUUCCGCAAAGGGCGAGAGCCUGACGGUGCAACGCCGCGUGAGUGAUGAAGGUCUUCGGAUCGGAAAGCUCUGUUAUUAGUGAAGAACAAAUGUGCAAGUAGCUAUGCACGUCUUGACGGUACCUGAUCAAAAAGCCCCGGCUAACUACGUG